CCUACGGGAGGCAGCAGUGAGGAAUAUUGGUCCAUGGGCGCGAGCCUGAACCAGCCAAGUCGCGUGAGGGAGGACGGCCCUACGGGUUGUAAACCUCUUUUGCCGGGGAGCAACGGGCGUCACGUGUGGCGCCACUGAGAGUACCCUGAGAAAAAGCAUCGGCUAACUCCGUGCCAGCAGCCGCGGUAAUACGUGGGAUGCGAGCGUUAUCCGGAUUUAUUGGGUUUAAAGGGUGCGUAGGCGGAUCGGUAAGUCAGUGUUCAAAUUUGGGGGCUCAACCCCUUCCCGCCAUUGAAACUGGCGCUAUUGAGUGGAAGAGAAGUAUGCGGAAUGCGUGGUGUAGCGGUGAAAUGCAUAGAUAUCACGCAGAACCCCGAUUGCGAAGGCAGCUUACUAAACUGUGACUGACAUUGAUGCUCGAAAGUGUGGGUAUCAAACAGGAUUAGAUACCCGAGUAGUC
rnacentral:rRNA from 1 species